rnacentral:rRNA from 1 species
CCUACGGGGGGCAGCAGUGAGGAAUAUUGGUCAAUGGACGAGAGUCUGAACCAGCCAAGUAGCGUGAAGGAUGACUGCCCUAUGGGUUGUAAACUUCUUUUAUAUGGGAAUAAAAUGUUCCACGUGUGGGAUUUUGUAUGUACCAUAUGAAUAAGGAUCGGCUAACUCCGUGCCAGCAGCCGCGGUAAUACGGAGGAUCCGAGCGUUAUCCGGAUUUAUUGGGUUUAAAGGGAGCGUAGGUGGAUUGUUAAGUCAGUUGUGAAAGUUUGCGGCUCAACCGUAAAAUUGCAGUUGAAACUGGCAGUCUUGAGUACAGUAGAGGUGGGCGGAAUUCGUGGUGUAGCGGUGAAAGGCUUAGAUAUCACGAAGAACGCCGAUUGCGAAGGCAGCUCACUGGACUGCAACUGACACUGAGGCUCGAAAGUGUGGGUAUCAAACAGGAUUAGAUACCCUGGUAGUC